UACGUAGGGUGCAAGCGUUGUCCGGAAUUAUUGGGCGUAAAGAGCUCGUAGGCGGUUUGUCGCGUCUGCCGUGAAAGUCCGGGGCUCAACUCCGGAUCUGCGGUGGGUACGGGCAGACUAGAGUGAUGUAGGGGAGACUGGAAUUCCUGGUGUAGCGGUGAAAUGCGCAGAUAUCAGGAAGAACACCAAUGGCGAAAGCAGCUCUCUGGGACGGUACUGACGCUGAGACGCGAAAGCGUGGGGAGCGAACAGGAUAGAA
rnacentral:rRNA from 1 species